GAUGAACGCUGGCGGCGUGCCUAAUACAUGCAAGUCGAGCGAACAGAUGAGGAGCUUGCUCCUCUGACGUUAGCGGCGGACGGGUGAGUAACACGUGGAUAACCUACCUAUAAGACUGGGAUAACUUCGGGAAACCGGAGCUAAUACCGGAUAAUAUAUUGAACCGCAUGGUUCAAUAGUGAAAGACGGUUUUGCUGUCACUUAUAGAUGGAUCCGCGCCGCAUUAGCUAGUUGGUAAGGUAACGGCUUACCAAGGCAACGAUGCGUAGCCGACCUGAGAGGGUGAUCGGCCACACUGGAACUGAGACACGGUCCAGACUCCUACGGGAGGCAGCAGUAGGGAAUCUUCCGCAAUGGGCGAAAGCCUGACGGAGUAACGCCGCGUGAGUGAUGAAGGUCUUCGGAUCGUAAAACUCUGUUAUUAGGGAAGAACAAAUGUGUAAGUAACUAUGCACGUCUUGACGGUACCUAAUCAGAAAGCCACGGCUAACUACGU
rnacentral:rRNA from 1 species